rnacentral:rRNA from 1 species
CAGUAGCCGCGGUAAUACGGAGGGAGCUAGCGUUGUUCGGAAUUACUGGGCGUAAAGCGCACGUAGGCGGUUAUUCAAGUCAGAGGUGAAAGCCCGGGGCUCAACCCCGGAACUGCCUUUGAAACUAGAUGACUGGAAUCUUGGAGAGGUCAGUGGAAUUCCGAGUGUAGAGGUGAAAUUCGUAGAUAUUCGGAAGAACACCAGUGGCGAAGGCGACUGACUGGACAAGUAUUGACGCUGAGGUGCGAAAGCGUGGGGAGCAAACAGGAUUAGAGACCCCAGUAGUCCCUGUCUCUUAUAC